UGGAAAUGAACGUCGCGGGGUUAUCAGCGCCGAUCUGUCAGCGGCAACUCGCGCGGCCGCAGGCUCGUCCGCUGCAGGAGCCGUGAUAUAUGUCUCGCUCCCUUUCGCUUACAGAAAGGAUUUCUUCCGACAGACGUGACCCCAGAAGGCUGCCGAGGGAGACUUUAGGACAAGAGGCGUUGUUUUUUUAGGGAAGGAAGAGGAGCCUGUGCAGAGUUGAAGUGGGGUGGAGAGGUGCCUUGUAAAGUAUGGUUUCCAGAGAUGGUGAGACCUCGUAGCUAAGCGUUGUUUCCUCUGCACGUAACUUUUCAGCGUGGCCGCAUUUGGAAAAGGCUGAAGGUAGAAAACUCUGGAAUGGAGAGGCUGGCGACUGGAGCAGGAUCCAGGGGCUUUAAAUUUUAACCUGAGUGCGAUCGAAUGCGCGACUCCCAGAAGAGAUAGCCAGGCGUCCGCCCGGCCGCUCAACCCCUGCCAGGACUCGGAAUGCCUUGCUUUUGGUUCUUUUCUACAAGGAUGUCUGCGUGGAUAUCCCUGGACACUCGAUACCCCCCGGGGACCUGCUUUUCCCGCAGCUCCGCAGACGCGGCGGGAGGGCGCGCUGGCCCCGGCGCUGCUGGGACAGAGGUGAGCAGCGGGGUGGACAUUGACCGAUUCGACAACGUUCGGGCUCUAAGGGCUCGGGAAGGGACCCGGCAUUUUACCCUCCAGAUUCCCAAUCUAUUUUUUAAAAUAAUGUUCAAAACAUAUGGGAAAAAUAAGUGAUUGCUCCUUUUCAUGGUCACAGAUUGUAUUUAUUUUUUCAGACUGGUUUUCCAACCUAACGAGGGAAUGGGUAGUGAAU
rnacentral:lncRNA from 1 species